GGCGGCACGCUUAACACAUGCAAGUCGCACGAGAACGUUCUGGCUUUGCCAGGACAAGUACAGUGGCGGACGGGUGCGUAUCGCGUAGAUAACCUGCCCUUAGGCGCGGGACAAUCACGGGAAACCGUGGCUAAUACCGCACGUCGUCUGGAUCCCGCAUGGGGACCAGAUGAAAGCUUGGGGUUACCCAGGCGCCUUGGGAUGGGUCUGCGUUGGAUUAGCUUGUUGGUGAGGCAACGGCUCACCAAGGCGACGAUCCAUAGCUGGUCUGAGAGGACGAUCAAGCCACACUGGGACUGAGACACGGCCCAGACUCCUACGGGAGGCAGCAGUGGGGAAUCUUGCACAAUGGGGUCACCCCUGAUGCAGCCAUGCCGCGUGGAGGAAGACACCCCUAUGGGGCGUAAACUCCUUUUCUGAAUGAAGAAACCCCUGUAGGUUCAGGGCGCGACGGUAGUUCAGGAAUAAGCACCGGCUAACUCCGUGCCAAGCAGCCGCGGUAAUACGGAGGGUGCAAGCGUUGUCCGGAAUCACUGGGUGUAAACGGUGUGCAAGCGGGGGCAAUCAAGUCCGAUGUGAAACCCCAUGGCUCAACCAUGGAGGUGCAUUCCAAACUGUUGCUCCUGAAUCCCGGAGAAGCUGUCGGAAAUCGUGGUGUAACGGUGAAAUG
rnacentral:rRNA from 1 species